GACGAACGCUGGCGGCGUGCCUAAUACAUGCAAGUAGAACGCUGAAGGAGGAGCUUACUUCUCUGGAUGAGUUGCGAACGGGUGAGUAACGCGUAGGUAACCUGCCUGGUAGCGGGGGAUAACUAUUGGAAACGAUAGCUAAUACCGCAUAAGAGUAGAUGUUGCAUGACAUUUGCUGAAAAGUUGCAAUUGCACCACCACCAGAUGGCCCUGCGUUGUAUUAGCUAGUUGGGGGGGUAACGGCCUACCAAGGCGACGAUACAUAGCCGACCUGAGAGGGUGAUCGGCCACACUGGGACUGAGACACGGCCCAGACGCCUACGGGAGGCAGCAGUAGGGAAUCGUCGGCAAUGGACGGAAGUCUGACCGAGCAACGCCGCGUGAGUGAAGAAGGUUUUCGGAUCGUAAAGCUCUGUUGUAAGAGAAGAACGAGUGUGAGAGUGGAAAGUUCACACUGUGACGGCAUCUUACCAGAAAGGGACGGCUAACUACGUGCCAGCCGCCGCAGUAA
rnacentral:rRNA from 1 species